rnacentral:lncRNA from 1 species
CACAAGUUUUAAAAUGUUUUAAUUAUAUUUCAUUCAGUUCUGAAACUUCCUGUUUGUUUUGAGACUUCCUCUUUUUAUGCAUGAAUUGUUUAGAAGCAUGUUAAUUUUCUAGUGUUUUUUUUCCUGCUCUUUGUUACUGGUUUCUAAUUUGUUUCAUAUUGGCUCUAUUGAAAUUUUUUUGCGGGGGGCGGAUAACGGAGAUCGAACUCAGGACCUUGCACUUGUGAGGCAGGUGCUGGAACCAUUGAGCUAAAUCCCCAGCUCUAUUGAAAUUUUUUUCUUGACCCAGGAUAUGGUUUUUCCUCUUCUGUAUGGUUGCUUGCUCUACUGGCACUAGGUAGAGUUUCUUUUCUUUUUUUUUUUUUCUUUUUUGGUGCUGGGGAUCAGCUUGCAAGGCAGGCAGCGGAACCACUGAGCUAAAUCCCCAGGCCCUAGGUAGAGUAUCUACAAAUGUCUGCAUGAACCUGUUGGCUGGUGAUAUUAUUCAGACAUUCUACAUCCUUGAUGAUUUUCUAUGUUUUCUUUUUUUUCUUUUUUUUUUGUUUAUUUACUGUACUGGAGGUUGAACCCAGGUCCUUUACACUGAGCUACAUUCCCAGGGCUAUUUUUGAGUUUUGUUUUGGUAUUGGGAUCGAACUCAGGACCUUGUGUUUUCGAGGCAGGUGUGGCACCUCUGAGCUAAACCCCCAGCCCACUAUUUUAUGUUUUGAGACAGGUUCUCACUAAGUCACUGAGUUGCCCAACUUGUGAUCCUCCUGCCUGAGCCUCCCAGAGUGCUGGGAUUAUAGGCGUGUGCCACCGUAUGUGGCUCUGUCCAGUAUUUCUCUCAAAUUGCCAAGAGAGGGGUGCUGCAGUCCCAUAUUUUAAUUGUGGGAUUAUCUGUUCUUCCUUUAGGUUCCAUCAGUUUUUCCUUCAUAAUUCACAGCUCAGCCUCCUGAAUGCUGGGAUUACAGGACGUCUCCGGCUGGUGUCACCUUGCUGUUGAGCACCGCAGCUCCACAGACCAUUGAGGCCUCAGCUGUUACCGGAGGGAUAGUGGAGUUAUGUUUCUGCAUUCCAUAGCCGCUCUCAGGGAUUGAACUCGGGACCUUGGCGUUUUCGAGGCAGGCGGCAAUGGCACCACUGAGCUAAAUCCCCGGCCCUAUGAGUGAGAUAAACACUUUUCAACUAAAAAAAGAAGAAGGAGCUGAGCAUGGCCAAGCGAUGAAAGAAUGUGAAAGUUUCUUUGUCUUACUGUACCUUUUCCUUGCAAUAAAAGCCCUUGCACAGGUGAGAGAGAUCUGAGGCAGUAAGAGGUAUCUAUCCCCUUCUGGGCUACCUUUGAGUAAUUUUUUUUCCUUUUCACCAGCCUCUCAUGUUUCUUAGGGAGCAGCCUCCAGUACAGAGUGGCCAGGAACAGGGCCUCUAGAGACAUGCGGAGCACUAGGGGAAUCUUGGCUCUUGAAGUAUGUCCAGCUUAUCUCUCUUCAGACUCUAGGCCAAAGACAGCCUUUCUUCUGCAUUGUGCAAAGCUGGGCUGCCUCUGGAGGUGCUCAGUGAUAUCGUGUGUCAGUCUUGAGGAUUAAAGCUUAGUAUUUGCUCACAGAGUUUUCUCAUCACAAGCAAAAAUCUGUUAGGGCCAGAGAUUUAGCUCAGUGGUGCGAUCCCUGCCUCACAAGUGCAAGGUCCUGAGUUCGAUCCUGGUACUGGGGGGAAAAAGUCUGGUACACAUCUUGCAGUUGAGUGGUUUCAGCUGUUUGUUCAAUGGCCAGUUUAUUUUGCCUCCUUUUGAGCAGUGUCAAGGAAAUGGGCCUGGCAUUGACUCUUUCUAUCCUUGCUUUGAUCUACAAGAUAACUCCAAAAAUUCGUAUCCAUGUUUUCUCCUAAUUUGCAGAUGUGCUAUAUUCAGCAUAUGUUUUGAGAAGUGCGACCUCACUAAUCCUGUAUACUGCCCAUUUCAGAACUACCCAAUUCCAAGUAGUAACAAAGGACUUUCCUCGGUGUACGCCUUUCAUAUGCAAACCAAACACUCCAGAACCUCAAUCUUUCAACUACUUCUUUCAUGAAAGUCUCACAAAUGGAGGAACUGUCUCUGCCUUCACUAACCAGGACCAGAUGUCAAGUAACUAGGGACAGUCUCUCCUGAAACUCUAGCCUACCCUAACCUGCUUAGAUUCUUUAUUUCGCACAAUAAAUACACUUGCGUUGCUUUCUUUGCACUCCUGUUUGUCCUUCCCCAACCUGGCCGAGUAUGGCUUGACGUGUGCUCUUUUUCCUGAGAACUAGGAGGUAUCUCUGCAAAGGCAACUGUCUCAGCAACUUUUGGCUUCACCAUACUUGAAUAAUAAAAUUGACCUUUUAUAAUAAUAUGCUUAAGUCGUUAAUAAGGUGCUACAUUUUAAGAGUUUAGUAAAGCAAAUCAGGCAUUUCCAUGUAAUUUCCAAAGCAUAAGGCACAGUGCACAAAACAAGACAAAUGACAGAACCAUAGAGGGGCAGAUCAAUGCUCAGAGGGGCUGUUGAAGUGAAGUAGUGAUUGAGAGAGUUCUCUGCUAGAUAAAAGGGCCCCUGCCUACAGGAAACAGUCUCUCCAGAGAGAACAAAGACCUGCUUUUUACACACACACACACACACACACACUCGCCCUCAGCUGUAGCCAAUCAUCUGCCUCCCCUACACUCCCCCUAGCCCUCAUAAACCGCACCCAGCCAGCCCCUGGCUGCUGUUCUCACCAUCGUUCGAGACAGUCCGGCAGCUCUGUCCUUUAAUAAAAGCUUUGCCUUGGGUGUUCGUGUUUCAGCUCAUUUUAUUUCUCUCAUUAUUGGUGCCGAACACCCGGGAGGGACAUGAUCGGGAUUUUGCGAUGAUCCCCCCCACCGGUCGGGGUUGAUUAGCCUCCCACCGUCCUCAGACCCUGCCGAGCCAACACCCAACCAGGGGCCCUCACUCCUGCCAUCGCUGACGCUUAACAUCCACACUGGCCUUCAGCUCCUGGUUUGGAGACCAAAACUAAAAAGGAGCAGUUGGAGGUCUUUACCAAUCAGACAGUCGGUGAACUCAUUAUGGCCAGUUAUCAACCUUUUGCCACAGGAGACCACGCCAUCAUCACGUAGGACCCAGACCUGUUACCCUUUAUCACUGCCUCUGUGCUCACAGGAAGCAGCUACAAUAAAGAGACCUCUGCCCUUACUCCAUAAUAAUAUCAAGAGUCUGGAAUGAUAGAGUUCUCUGCUAGGUAAAAUGGCCCUGAGAACCCUGCAUCCUAAAAUGGCCCCUACCUACAGGAAACAAGUCACCUCCUUUUUUCCACCUCGCCCCCAGCCGUAGCCAAUCAUCUGCCACUACCACACUCCCCCAGCCCUUAUAAACCUCACCCAGCCAACCCCUGGUUGCUAUUCUCGCCAUUGUUCGAGACAGCCUGGCAGCUCU